rnacentral:rRNA from 1 species
UACGUAGGUGGCGAGCGUUAUCCGGAAUGAUUGGGCGUAAAGGGUGCGUAGGCGGCCUGCUAAGUCUGAAGUGAAAGCCCGUGGCUCAACCGCGGCCCGCCGUUGAAACUGGCAGUCUCGAGUUGGAGAGAAGUAUGCGGAAUGCGCGGUGUAGCGGUGAAAUGCAUAGAUAUCGCGCAGAACUCCGAUUGCGAAGGCAGCAUGCCGGCUCCACACUGACGCUGAGGCGCGAAAGCGUGGGGAGCAAACAGG